GGCAGUACAUGGAUAUCUUAUAUAUUAUUUCCUAAUAUUUUAGUAGGCUUGAAAUAUGUGGUAAACAAAAUAGAGACAAAGAAAGAAGAAAAAAGGGUCAAAGAGAGAGGAGAAAAGAGUUGGAGAUGGGAGAGAUGAAGAGGAAGAAAAUGAGCAUGGUCUUGGAGACAAACCACCUGCAUGCUAAUUGUGGCAGGCAGUGUGGUUUAGUAGAAUAAGCUUGGCAGUGUGCUCAGGCUGGAGGGGCUAGAGAGAAGUGAGAUGAGGGAGACAAGAUGAAGUCGCAUCCAAAGAUGAGGUGGCCACUGGCUGAUGGAUCGAUUCCGACAAGAAUAAAACAAUUCAUAGAAAUCAAUGUCACCGACCCGCAGAUGCAUCUCAGAAUUGAUGCCAAACACAAGGGCAGCAUGAAAACACACAGCUCCCAAACUGAAGGAGCUGUAGCAUCUUGAAGACAUCUGGCCUGCAGAAACAGAAUGCUCAAUAAUACCCAUUCGUGGUUACUGAGAAGUCACUACACGUUGAGCACUAGGCUACAUGUUGACAUUUAAGAACUAUAACAUCCUAAUAAGUAAGUGUUAAUAUUCUUAUUCCUAUUUUAAGGUUAAGGAAACUGAGGUUAAAGAA
rnacentral:lncRNA from 1 species